UACGGAGGUGGCAAGCGUUGUUCGGAAUUACUGGGCGUAAAGGGCGCGUAGGCGGCUAGGCAAGUCAGGUGUGAAAGCCCCGAGCUUAACUCGGGAAUUGCAUCUGAAACUGCUGUGCUUGAGUUCUGGAGGGGGUAGUGGAAUUCCCAGUGUAGCGGUGAAAUGCGUAGAUAUUGGGAGGAACACCUGCGGCGAAGGCGGCUACCUGGACAGAAACUGACGCUGAGGCGCGAAAGCGUGGGGAGCAAACAGG
rnacentral:rRNA from 1 species